UAGGGGUGAUCGUAUCCGAACCAAUCCAAAAGUAAAACCGCAAAUCGAACCAAACCAAACCGAAAACCGCAAAAACCGCAUUUGGUUUGGAUGUAUUUGGAUGGCUUUCUUACUGAACCGCAAACCGUAAAAACGCAAAAACCGCGGAUAACCGCAAAAACCGCAUUAAGUUACAAUUAUAUAUUUAUAUUCCAAUAUCGUAAAAGAAAAUAUAUUUAUAUUCCAAUAUACAUGCCCAAUUACCAAGUCAGUCGACCAAAUUAAUCGAACUUCAAGUUGUUUUUAUUUUUUGUACUGAAAUUUUAUUUUGGUGUUGUAAUGUUAUUUUAAAUAAAUAAAUUUUAU
rnacentral:lncRNA from 1 species